CCCUGGUUGAUUCUGCCAGUAGUUAUAUUGCUUUGUCUCAAAGAUUAAGCAUGCAUGUCUCAGUGCAACCGUAUUAAGGCGAUACGCGAAUUGGCUCAAUAUAUUCAGUUUUGGUCCUUAGAUCUUACUCAGUUACUGAUAACUGUGGUAAUUCUUAGAGCUAAUACAUGCCAAUCAGAACUUCGACCAGUGAUGGCUAUGAGUGCUUUAUUAGAUUCAAACAAUCGACGGGAGCGGCCUCGCGUGCCGAAUCGUUAAUUUUGAUAAUCUGAGAUAACUUUUGCCGCGCAUGCGCUCCAGUUACCGCGACGCAUCUUUCAAAGUCUGCCUAUCAACUUUCGAUGGUAUUCUGCACUACCCAUGGUUGUCACGGGUACUAACGGGGAAUCAGGGUUCGAUUCCAGGAGAGGGAGCCUAGAAGGGGCUACCACCAUCCAAGGAAGGCAGCAGGCGCGCAAAUUACCCACUCCCGGCACGCGGGAGGUGUGACGAAAAAAUAACGAUACGGGACUUUACGAGCGCCUCGUAAAUCGGAAUGAUACCACUUUAAAUAUUUUAACGAGAAACAAUGGAGGCAAGUUCUGUGCCAGCAGCCGCGGUAAUUCCAGCUCCAAUAUUGCGUAUACUAAAAAUUGUUGCGGUUAAAAGCUCGUAGUGCAUUUGUGCGCCGCCUGUCGGUGCACCGCAUCGCGGUGAACUGACACGUCUGCGGAGCAUAUCGUCGGUGCAGCCGAAACGCAUAAUACGCCGGCUUCAAUAUCAAAAUUCCUUACGGCGGUGCUCCGGUGAGUUCGAGGUGGGCCGACCAAUUUUUACUUUGAACAAAUUUAGAGUGCUCUAAACGCGGCUCAAAUGCUGCUUGAAUAUUCGUGCAUGGAUUAAUAGAAAUGAUCUCGGUUCUAUUUUGUGGUUUCAGCAACUCCGAGGUAGAUGAUUAAGUUUAGCAUAACUGGGGCAUCUCGUAUGCGACGUUAGAGGUGAAAUUCUUGUAUCGUCCGCAAGAACGAAAACCGAUCAGCGAAAGCAUUUUGCCAAAGGUGUUUUCAUCAAAUCAAGACGAAAAGUUAGAGGUUCGAAGGCGAUUAGAUACCGCCCUAGUUCUAACCGUAAAUAUGCAUCUAGCGAUCGCGAACGUUAAAAAAAAACUACAAUGGUCGGCGGGCAGCUUCCGGGAAACCAAAGAUUUAUGGACUCCGCGGGGAGUAUGGUGCUGCAAAGCGAAACUUAAAAGGAAUUGACGGAAAGGGCACCACCAGGCAGUGGAGCCUGCGGCUUAAUUUGACUCAACACGCGGAAAUCUUCACAGGCCCGGACACCGGAAGAUUGACAGAUUAACAGCUUCUCUCUGAUUCGGUGGGUGGUGGUGCAUGCCGUUUCUUAGUUGGUGGACAGAUUGUCUGGUUAAUUCCGUAAACGAACGAGGACUCUAGCCUGCUAAAUAGGCGUCGUCAUUUGAGGUGUGCGUGGGCUCCGUCACCGCAACUCACUGGGGCCGACGUUAUUAAAAAUUUCUUCUUAGAGGGACCGGCGGCUUCGAGCCGCCAGCACGAGAUUGAGCAAUAACAGGUCUGUGAUGCCCUUAGAUGUCCUGGGCGACGCGCGCUACACUGAGGAAUCAGCAUGUUCUCCCUGGCCUAGAGGCCCGGGCAACCGCUGAAACUCCUUCGUGCUGGAUUAGGGUGUUUGCAAUUAUCCCCCAUAAACGAGGAAUUCCUAGUAAGCGCGAGUCAUGAAGCUCGCGCUGAUUACGUCCACUUUGCCCUUUGUACCACACCGCCCGUCCUAGCACCGAUUGAAUUGAUUUUAGUGAGGUCUCGGACCGACCACGCGUGGCUUCCACGGCCCGUCGGCGUUCGCUGGGAAGUUGACCAAACUUGAUCAUUUAGAGGAAGUAAAAGUCGUAACAAGGUUUCCGUAGGGGAACCUGCGAAGG
rnacentral:rRNA from 1 species